CAAUAGCGUAUAUUUAAGUUGUUGCAGUUAAAAGCUCGUAGUCGGAUUUUGGCUGAGAACGAUCGGUCCGCCGUUAGGUGUGCACUGAUUGGUCUCAGCUUCCUGGUGAGGAGGUGUGCUUCACGGCCACUUAGUCACCGUGGUUACUUUGAAAAAAUUAGAGUGUUCAAAGCGGGCUUACGCUUGAAUAUAUUAGCAUGGAAUAACACCAUAGGACUCCUGUCCUAUUUCGUUGGUCUCGGGACGGGAGUAAUGAUUAAGAGGAACAGUUGGGGGCAUUCGUAUUUCAUUGUCAGAGGUGAAAUUCUUGGAUUUAUGAAAGACGAACUUCUGCGAAAGCAUUUGCCAAGGAUGUUUUCAUUGA
rnacentral:rRNA from 1 species